rnacentral:rRNA from 1 species
UUCCGGUUGAUCCUGCCAGACCCCACUGCUAUCGAGAUGGGACUAAGGUAUGCUAGUCGAACGACCAGAACUAUGUCUGGAAGUGGCACACUGCUCAGUAACACGUAGCUAACCUACCCUUAGGACGUGGAUACCCCCGAGAAAUUGGGGUUAAUCCGCGAUAGAUGUAAUGUCCUGGAAUGGUAUUACGUCUAAAGGUAUUUCAUACAUGUUUGAAAUAUGCCUAAGGAUGGGGCUGCGGCCGAUCAGGCUGUUGGUGAGGUAAUGGCUCACCAAACCUUUGACCGGUACGGGCCAUGAGAGUGGUAGCCCGGAGAUGGACACUGAGACAAGGGUCCAGGCCCUAAGGGGCGCAGCAACCGCGAAACCUCCACAAUGCACUCACGUGCGAUGGGGCUAUCUCGAGUGCCACCUGAUGAAGGUGGCUUUUCCUAGGUCUUCAAAGCCUUGGGAAUAAGAGGGGGGCAAGACUGGUGUCAGCCGCCGCGGUAACACCAGCCCCUCGAGUGGUGGGGAUGAUUAUUUGGCCUAAAGCGUCCGUAGCCGGCCGAGCAAGUCUUCCGUUAAAUCCAGCGUCUCAAGCGUUGGACCGCGGGAGAUACUACACGGCUAGAGAGUGGGAGAGGUCAGCGGUAUUCUGGGGGUAAGGGCGAAAUCUUUUGAUCCCCGGAGGACCACCAGUGGCGAAGGCUGCUGACUAGAACACGUCUGACGGUCAGGGACGAAAGCUGGGGUAGCGAACCGGAUUAGAUACCCGGGUAGUCCCAGCCGUAAACGAUGCAUGCUAGGUGUUGGGUUGGCCACGAGCCACCCCAGUGCCGCAGGGAAGCCGUUAAGCAUGCCGCCUGGGAAGUACGAUCGCAAGGUUGAAACUUAAAGGAAUUGGCGGGGGAGCACCACCAGGCGUGAAGCCUGCGGUUUAAUUGGAUUCAACGCCGGA